UAGGGAAUCUUGCGCAAUGGGCGAAAGCCUGACGCAGCAACGCCGCGUGGGGGAUGAAGGCCCUCGGGUUGUAAACCCCUUUCAGCAGGAACGAAUCUGACGGUACCUGCAGAAGAAGGUCCGGCCAACUACGUG
rnacentral:rRNA from 1 species